AGUAACGCGCCCGCCCUCUAUCUAUCUCAUACAAAAGAAGGCAAUCAUAGAUGUCGCUCUCAGUACUCCUCCACGUAAUUGUAGAGAACAAAGAACCGGCCGGUAAUUCAUCGCUCUCAUCAUACGAUCUUGGCCUGUAUUGUAGUAGUAGUAGUAGUAGUACAGUGAUUAUUAUCAUUCGAAUGGCGAUCUCUUUUCUUUUUUUAUUUAGACAUUUGGUAAUAAUAAUGGCAUAAGUCAUAACUCAGCUGUGAGAAGAAAUUUUUGGCUUGCUGAAGUAUUUGACGUCUCUUACUCGUUUUGACGUUUAUUCAUCAUACAAAGUUUUUGUAUUAAUAUUGAAUGUGACACUCAGUCUUGUAGUAUUGCGUAUCUCGUUAGUUAGGACUGCAGUCCCGUCAUUUGAGUCUCGCUCCGGUUCAGUUCAGUCCUUAAACUUAUAAGGUUUGGUCCUUCAUGAAGUCACUCAAGCUUAUUUCUUCUUUCUUUUAAUCAGUUCUAGCAUUACUGACAGUCCGAAGGACCGAUCGUAUAAAGGACCGGCCCCAAGGACUGAUCCUAAGACUGGACUGGACCACAAAAAUACGGACUGACACAACACUAUUUUACAGCGAUUUGAUUUAUUUUGAAUUACUUCAUAUUAUUAUUAAGGAAAUUCUCACUUUAUUUAUCCCUUUCUUUGGCUAUAUUUAUAUAUUAUAAAAAUUUCCAUUCGAUCAUCUUUGAACAAAGCCACAAAUCUGUUACUAUGGAGGCUGAGGAAAGAACUUAUAAAUAGGGGGGAGAUUACGAAUUUUCUCCCCCUUUGGAAAUAACGCAAUAAGCGUACGCAAUGAGAGAAGCUUGAGAGAGUGUUGUAGCUAGCAAGACGUAGUCCUAUUUAUUAUAAACACAAUCCGAACAAAGAAACGACGCUAACUAAGGGAACUCACUCUGAUGCUUGUUGUCUCGGAUGAGUUUUUCUUUCUCUGUGUUUUUUGUUGCUGACGCUGUUUGGCAAUUCUCUUCAUCAAGCCCAGAUCAAGGAGCUAGUCUUUGUUCACUCAUCCAGCCUAUUAUUACAAUGCAACAAACAACUCUACUUAAAAGGAGGAAAUCCUUCCCUAGCUUUUGAGAGAGUUGUUUUCACCUGUCAAACUUGGAAUGAAAAUCCCUUGUACUAGUAACAAAGGAAAUGAAAUAAGUACUAGGGAUAGAAUAGCAGGUUACAACAACUUGAGUCCUUCCGUGCUUCCUGUCAAAGUAUGAUCAUGUUUGUCUUACAUGGUAACAAAGGAUAUCAUAACAGUAUUAAUUAAUUAUGUAUUACCAAUAAACAUGUAUUAUUUUGAACUAGGUGCGAAAAUUAUUCUAAUCUAAUCGAUGGAAUCAAUGGAUAAAACACAUUCUAUAUUUAUUUUAGGACCAUAUUAAAUCCUGAGACACUAUAAGUUAUCGUGCUGAAUGACCGUCUAUAUUGAAUUAGGAAUAAUACCUGAGCAUCGAUAUCGAAGGGGCAGUAUCGGUAUUUGGAGUGGAUGAAUGGCCUGCCCGAAUAUAUAUAUAUUCGUAUAAUUAACAAAUUACCUUUGUAGUCAUUUUUAAAUACACUAGAGCAGGAAGUUCCACGAAGAUUAGAGGAAACUCCAGCAAAUUCAGACCUCAACAAUUUAAGGUAGCACUUAAAUGAACAAAGAACCAUUGUCAAGCUCUGGAGUGUUUCAUACAGUGAAGCCCAAAAUAUAUGUUGAAUCUAGAAAGGUUUUCACGAAUUUGAAAACCAAUCCAUCUGAAAAUUCUCUGUGUGAUCCAUUUUUUCUCAAGUCAAUAUGGCUAAACGAAAAGUAACUAUUGCAUAAUUUAUUUUGGUUAAAUAAAAGUUAUGUCAAUUUUGUAUUAAUUAGAUGUUUAAUUUUUUUAAUAUAAAAUAAUACAUAGCUGUAUAAUAUCAAAUUAGUUACUUAUUUUGAUAAUAAAAUUUUGUCCAUUUUUAGUAUAAA
rnacentral:lncRNA from 1 species